rnacentral:tRNA from 1 species
CGCGGAGUAGCUCAACGGAUAGAGCGCCCUGCUUUCUAGUGCGGCGGACUUCAACAAUUCGCUUGUACGGCAGGGAGGUUGCUGGUUCAAGUCCAGCCUCCGCGCCCA